AAUCCGUGUUGUGGGCAUUUGUGCAGGAGCUCCUUGAACCUUUUCCCACGUCUCAAAUAGAGACUCCAAUUCCGACUGCAUAAAAUUACGAGAUCUCACUCCUUAGCUU